rnacentral:lncRNA from 1 species
UUUGAUAGUUGAUGUUAGUACUUAAUCUUUUUAUUUUUAACAUUAAAAGAUAGAUUAAACUACAAAAUACUAUUCAGUGAUUGAUUUAUAAACACGAAUAACCUAUUUGGAACGUUUCAGUAAUAAUUUGAUGAAAAGUAUGCCAGUAAAAAAAGAAGACAACAACAAAAGAUCAGUCGCUGCUAAAAGCAAAAUGGAGUAUGAAAGUGGAAUAAAAUCUGUUGACGAAGAGACCAUUAUGUCUUUGCUUGCU